rnacentral:rRNA from 1 species
UGGAUCCAGACUUUGAUUAUGGCUCAGGAUGAACGCUAGCGGCAGGCUUAACACAUGCAAGUCGAGGGGCAGCAUAAUGGAUAGCAAUAUCUAUGGUGGCGACCGGCGCACGGGUGCGUAACGCGUAUGCAACCUACCUUUAACAGGGGGAUAACACUGAGAAAUUGGUACUAAUACCCCAUAAUAUCAUAGAAGGCAUCUUUUAUGGUUGAAAAUUCCGAUGGUUAGAGAUGGGCAUGCGUUGUAUUAGCUAGUUGGUGGGGUAACGGCUCACCAAGGCGACGAUACAUAGGGGGACUGAGAGGUUAACCCCCCACACUGGUACUGAGACACGGACCAGACUCCUACGGGAGGCAGCAGUGAGGAAUAUUGGUCAAUGGACGCAAGUCUGAACCAGCCAUGCCGCGUGCAGGAUGACGGCUCUAUGAGUUGUAAACUGCUUUUGUACGAGGGUAAACGCAGAUACGUGUAUCUGUCUGAAAGUAUCGUACGAAUAAGGAUCGGCUAACUCCGUGCCAGCAGCCGCGGUAAUACGGAGGAUUCAAGCGUUAUCCGGAUUUAUUGGGUUUAAAGGGUGCGUAGGCGGUUUGAUAAGUUAGAGGUGAAAUUUCGGGGCUCAACCCUGAACGUGCCUCUAAUACUGUUGAGCUAGAGAGUAGUUGCGGUAGGCGGAAUGUAUGGUGUAGCGGUGAAAUGCUUAGAGAUCAUACAGAACACCGAUUGCGAAGGCAGCUUACCAAACUAUAUCUGACGUUGAGGCACGAAAGCGUGGGGAGCAAACAGGAUUAGAUACCCUGGUAGUCCACGCAGUAAACGAUGAUAACUCGUUGUCGGCGAUACACAGUCAGUGACUAAGCGAAAGCGAUAAGUUAUCCACCUGGGGAGUACGUUCGCAAGAAUGCAACUCAAAUGAAUUGACGGA